ensembl:lncRNA
GUUGGCAUUUUUUAAAAUUCCCCAGUUGAUUCCUAUAUUCACCCAAGUUUUAGAAGAGGGCUGUAAGGCAAUCUGCUUCUCAAAAUGUUAAUGUGCAUCUUAAUCUGGAUAUCUUGCUAAAAUGCAGAUUCUGAGUAGAUUUGUGGUGGAGCCUACAGUUCUAACAAGCUCACAGGUAUCACUAUUGUUGCUGGUCUGUGGACCACACUGAAUAGCAACACCCCUUAAGGAGUCUUAACUCAUCCCGGCCAGUUAUGUAUCUAUCCUUUCAACAAAGAAUAUUAGUGAUUCUAAGACUUAACAGCCUUCAUUAUUAGGAAGGUCUUUAUAUCCAAUCACAUUUUCAUUACCCAUAUUUCUUCAGCCUAAUUAAACAUUGCUCCAUGGCCUUCCUCCAAAGGGCCAGAUGUUAUCAUCAGCUACUUUGAAUUAUUGAAUAUUUCUUAUUAUUACUUCCACUUUUGUCUGAGUUCUCAUGUUCCUAUGGAUCUGAGUGUGGAUCCAGAAAUAAUGAGCUAAAUUCCACAUUUUGUUUGCAGAAUAUAAAAUAUACAACAUUUCAGUGAGACUUGUGCCUAAUAAUUCAAGAAUAAAUUAUGUAAGACUUUGACAGCUUUGCUACUGAUGUCACAACUGUUCCCUUUCCCAAAAUCAAGCAGUAAUAAAGUUGGAAAAGUAUAUUUAAGAUUUGCAAGGAAAUGAAUUUUAAAAUGACAGCAACUAUCUAUAAAUAAAAUGGUUUCAUCACACAAUUUUGUUGACAGAGAAGAUUCAGAGACCUCAGUUUCCAAAGGAUUUUAAACAAAGUAAAUGAGGUCUCUAGUAAUGAUUACAAUUAGGAAUUUAAGUAUUAGCAGCCAGAGGUUUGAAAAACUCAGUGAUGAGGCAUUUGUAAAAGAGGUGGCAAAUGGGUGUAAUUAUGAAACACAGUUCACUGUUAGCAUCACCUGGUCAGAAUAUAUAUAAACCAAGGAGAACAGAAGAGGAAUUUCAGAGUUUCCCUGUAAAUUAACUUUUGCCUGAAACUGAUACAUAUAUUCCCAGUUUAACUGGCAGAGUCCAUCUAGAAAACACACAGUUUGAGAGCCACAGAAAGUUCAUUAACCUGCAAUGUGCAGCAGGAAUGAAUGAUAGCAACGUACUUGUAAAGAUGGUAUAAACAUCUAAAAACACUGAUGGGAGGAACAGAAGAGAAUCAAACCAAUUGAGCAAAGAUUUGUGAUAAGAAUUACUCGAAAUAUGGCUAACUUAAGCAAAACUCAUGAUGACAAUUUAAGGGUUUAAUUAUUGUAUAUGAUGUCAAUUUAAUAACAAAAAGCAUUGAGAGACAAGCAUUUAGAGCAAUAAAAUAAGGAUAUAAUAUUAAUAGAAGCCAUAAAAANNUAUGCAAAAAAUUCUGAAUGCAUGUUCCAAUAUAAUGAUAAAUACCUAAAGAAGAAACGUAGAAAUGUAACCAUAACCGAGAUUCAACCAAGAUUUUAAUCAUCUGUUUUCAAACAUUAUGAAAAAGAUAGAGCAUUAAUAAGGAUACUACAUGUGAAUACUUUAUUAUAUUGCUCAGUGCCUCUUAAAUAAAGGUUUGUAUGGCAAGUUCCUCUCAGAGUUCACACCCAAGACAAAAUUUCUUCUCCUGAUGAACAGAUACUCUUUGUCAUCUAUACCAAAAUUUAGAAUUAUUUCAGAAAGAUUUUAAAAUACAAAAUCCAUGUAGUUCCUGUUUUGUUGAGGCCACUAGAAAGCUCAAGGCCAAACUUUGAUCUUAACAGUGUCAUUUUCUUCAGCCACAACUUUUUAAUAUAAUAUUAAUUUUCUGCUUCUCACUUGAAUUUCUGCCUUUUAACCUGUAUUGCUGCUGCUGCUAAGUCGCUUCAGUCGUGUCCAACUCUGUGCAACC